rnacentral:rRNA from 1 species
UACAGAGGUCUCAAGCGUUGUUCGGAUUCAUUGGGCGUAAAGGGUGCGUAGGUGGCGCGGUAAGUCGGGUGUGAAAUUUCGGAGCUUAACUCCGAAACUGCAUUUGAUACUGGCGUGCUUGAGGACUGGAGAGGAGACUGGAAUUCACGGUGUAGCAGUGAAAUGCGUAGAGAUCGUGAGGAAGACCAGUGGCGAAGGCGGGUCUCUGGACAGUUCCUGACACUGAGGCACGAAGGCCAGGGGAGCAAACGGG